GGGAUGGUAGCUCAGUGGUGAGUGCUUGUCUGUCAUGUAAGAGCCCUGGGUUUGAUCCCCAGCACCA
rnacentral:tRNA from 1 species